rnacentral:rRNA from 1 species
GAUGAACGCUGGCGGCGUGCCUAAUACAUGCAAGUCGAGCGAACGGACGAGAAGCUUGCUUUUCUGAUGUUAGCGGCGGACGGGUGAGUAACACGUGGAUAACCUACAUAUAAGACUGGGAUAACUUCGGGAAACCGGAGCUAAUACCGGAUAAUCUUUUGAACCGCAUGGUUCAAAAGUGAAAGACGGUCUUGCUGUAACUUAUAGAUGGAUCCGCGCUGCAUUAGCUAGUUGGUAAGGUAACGGCUUACCAAGGCAACGAUGCAUAGCCGACCUGAGAGGUUGAUCGGCCACACUGGAACUGAGACACGGUCCAGACUCCUACGGGAGGCAGCAGUAGGGAAUCUUCCGCAAUGGGCGAAAGCCUGACGGAGCAACGCCGCGUGAGUGAUGAAGGUCUUCGGAUCGUAAAACUCUGUUAUUAGGGAAGAACAUAUGUGUAAGUAACUGUGCACAUCUUGACGGUACCUAAUCGGAAAGCCACGGCUAACUACGUG